CAGCAGUCGCCGCGGGAAUACGUAGGUGGCAAGCGUUAUCCGGAAUUAUUGGGCGUAAAGCGCGCGUAGGCGGUUUUUUAAGUCUGAUGUGAAAGCCCACGGCUCAACCGUGGAGGGUCAUUGGAAACUGGAAAACUUGAGUGCAGAAGAGGAAAGCGGAAUUCCAUGUGUAGCGGUGAAAUGCGCAGAGAUAUGGAGGAACACCAGUGGCGAAGGCGACUUUCUGGUCUGCAACUGACGCUGAUGUGCGAAAGCGUGGGGAUCAAACAGGAUUAGAUACCCCGGUAGUCCCUGUCUCUUAUAC
rnacentral:rRNA from 1 species